rnacentral:rRNA from 1 species
ACCACCUGAUCCCUUACCGAACUCAGUCGUGAAACGCGUCAUCGCCGAUGGUAGUGUGGGGUUUCCCCAUGUGAGAGUAGGUCAUUGCCAG